rnacentral:rRNA from 1 species
UGACGCCAGAAAACAGGCUUGGGGCUCCAGGCUUUCGCGCAUAACGAGGAAAUGGCCGACAACUUCAGCGAAAUUAUCUUCCGUUAACCACCAUGCGAGUAGUUCUUUAUCGAGAAAGUUCCAGCUGCUGCGGGGCAUCACCCGCGUUCCGAUCCGUGGACGAGGUAAAAGCAUCCCUUUCGCAGCAAGCGUUUUAACCGCUUCACGCACGGCCGUACGGCUCACGCCAAACUGCUCACCCAGUUCCAUCUCUCCGGGAAGGAUACUUUCUGGCGGGUAUUCCCCGGUCAGGAUUUUUUGAGCUAGUUUCUCCGCUAAUACCCAGGAGAUGUUCUUUUGUGCCGCCAACUGCUGUGCGCUUAAAGACAUAAAUGCCGUUCCUUUCUCUUUUUUACCUUAUCAGUAUGCCAUCUGGCGGCGUGCUUCGUUGGUUAAAACGGCAAAACGCCGCUUUUUUGCUACAUUACACGGCGUAAUGAUGAAAAAAGAGGCGGUUGAAAAGUUUUUUGAAAUUUCCCCUUGUCACUUCGUAAUUACUCCCUAUAAUGCGCUCCCACUGACACGGAACAACGGCUUACAGCCCGCCGGGUCAGCGGGAUUCAGCGAUGAAUGCCGGCAGAGAAAAGCGAAAUUAAACGCUUGACUCUGAAUGAGGAAAGCGUAUUAUACGCCACCUCGCAACGGUGAGUGAAAGCCGCGUUGCACUGCUCUUUAACAAUUUAUCAGACAAUCUGUGUGGGCACUCAAAGUGACAUGGAUUCUUAACGUCU